rnacentral:rRNA from 1 species
UUACAACUUUCAACAACGGAUCUCUUGGUUCUGGCAUCGAUGAAGAACGCAGCGAAAUGCGAUAAGUAGUGUGAAUUGCAGAAUUCAGUGAAUCAUCGAAUCUUUGAACGCACAUUGCGCCCCUUGGUAUUCCAUGGGGCAUGCCUGUUCGAGCGUCA